rnacentral:lncRNA from 1 species
UUUCUAGUUUUUAUUCCAAAUAAUGAAAUAUGUCUUUUUGCAAAUUUCAAGACACAAGCAACAUAUCUAAUUUGGUUUACAAAAAAAAAAAAAAAAAAAAAAAAAAAAAGCAACAUAUCUAAUUUUUGUGUUUCUUUUUUAGAACAGAUUCCUUAAAUUCCAAAAGGCUUCAAAGUAGCGGAUCAGUGGAUCUGUUAGGAUCGUAAAAUGCUAUUCUCAGAGGUAUGUGGUUACCAGGUUAUUUGAGGCAG